rnacentral:rRNA from 1 species
GAUGAACGCUGGCGGCGUACCUAAUACAUGCAAGUCGAGCGAACAGACGAGGAGCUUGCUCCUCUGACGUUAGCGGCGGACGGGUGAGUAACACGUGGAUAACCUACCUAUAAGACUGGGAUAACUUCGGGAAACCGGAGCUAAUACCGGAUAAUAUAUUGAACCGCAUGGUUCAAUAGUGAAAGACGGUUUUGCUGUCACUUAUAGAUGGAUCCGCGCCGCAUUAGCUAGUUGGUAAGGUAACGGCUUACCAAGGCAACGAUGCGUAGCCGACCUGAGAGGGUGAUCGGCCACACGGGAACUGAGACACGGUCCAGACUCCUACGGGAGGCAGCAGUAGGGAAUCUUCCGCAAUGGGCGAAAGCCUGACGGAGCAACGCCGCGUGAGUGAUGAAGGUCUUCGGAUCGUAAAACUCUGCUAUUAGGGAAGAACAAAUGUGUAAGUAACUAUGCACGUCUUGACGGUACCUAAUCAGAAAGCCACGGCUAACUACGUG